UACGGGGGGGGCAAGCGUUGUUCGGAAUUACUGGGCGUAAAGGGCUCGUAGGCGGCUUCGCUAGUCGGGCGUGAAAUGCCUGGGCUUAACCCGGGAAUUGCGUUCGAUACUUCGAGGCUAGAGUGUGGGAGAGGUUGGUGGAAUUCCCAGUGUAGAGGUGAAAUUCGUAGAUAUUGGGAAGAACACCGGUGGCGAAGGCGGCCAACUGGACCACAACUGACGCUGAGGCGCGAAAGCGUGGGGAGCAAACAGG
rnacentral:rRNA from 1 species